UACGGGGGGAGCAAGCGUUGUUCGGAUUUACUGGGCGUAAAGGGCGCGUAGGCGGCCACCGCAAGUCGACUGUGAAAUCUCCGGGCUUAACCCGGAAAGGUCAGCCGAUACUGCGGGGCUAGAGUGCAGAAGGGGCAACUGGAAUUCUCGGUGUAGCGGUGAAAUGCGUAGAUAUCGAGAGGAACACCUGCGGCGAAGGCGGGUUGCUGGGCUGACACUGACGCUGAUGAGCGAAAGCUAGGGGAGCAAACGGG
rnacentral:rRNA from 1 species